rnacentral:rRNA from 1 species
CCCUUAGAUGUUCUGGGCUGCACGCGCGCUACACUGAAGCUAUCAACACGUUUUCCCUCCCUGAGAAGGGCGGGUAACCUUUUGAGUCAGCUUCGUGGUAGGGAUCGGGGCUUGCAAUUGUUCCCCGUGAACCAGGAAUUCCUAGUAGACGCGAGUCAUAAGCUCGCAUCGAUUAAGUCCCUGCCCUUUGUACACACCGCCCGUCGCUACUACCGAUUGAACGUUUUAGUGAGGCAUUUGGACCGACGCAUCUCAGUUUAACCGCUGGUUUGUGUUGGAAAGACUUCCAAACUUGAGCGUUUAGAGGAAGUAAAAGUCGUAACA